AAUCAACGCUGGCGGCGCGCUUAACACAUGCAAGUCGAGCGAGAAAGUGGAGCAAUCCAUGAGUACAGCGGCGUACGGGUGAGUAACACGUGGGUGAUCUACCUCUUAGUGGGGAAUAACCCUGGGAAACCGGGGCUAAUACCGCAUAAGCCUGAGAAGGGAAAGUGGCUUUGUGAAAGCAGAGCCGCGCUGAGAGAGGAGCCCGCGGCUGAUUAGCAGUUGGUGAGGUAACGGCCCACCAAGGCAUAGAUCGGUAGCCGGCCUGAGAGGGCACACGGCCACACUGGCACUGAAACACGGGCCAGACUCCUACGGGAGGCAGCAGUGGGAAUCUUGCACAAUGGGGAACCCUGAUGCAGCGACGCCGCGUGAGCGAUGAAGCCCUU
rnacentral:rRNA from 1 species